ACAUUUCUCCAUUACAGUCAGAGAAUGUCGGGACGGAAGACAGGCUGGAGAGAUGCAGCGUGAUAGUCUUUGAAGAAAGUGGAAGGGGGCCGUGAGCCAAGAAAUGUGGGGACCUCUAGAAGCUGGGAAAGCAGCCUGUGCUAAGACAGUGACCAAGGAGAGAGGCUUCAGAGAAAACCAAACCCGCUGACACCUUGAUCUUGAACUUCUCGCUUCUAGAACUGUGAGAAGAUACAAUUCUAUUGUUUGAGCACCCCAGUGUUUGAACUCCAGCUGGAUGAACUGUGGGGCAUGUGCCCUGACCUCAUGUUCAGCAUCAGGGUCAAAGCAAAGAGAGGUCUGACAAAGAUUCUGUUGUAAGCUCGUUAUGGAAAUGCCACGAUGAUGCUCUAUCAAGCUCAGUGCACGUUGCACCAGCUCCCACCCCUCUCCUUCCCAGUGAGGUCCUGUCUCAAGCUUUACAAAAUGCAAUUCAGAAGGGUGACGAAGGGAGGAAGAAUGAGGGGGAAAUAGAGAGCCCAUAAAUAAAACAAAAUCUGGAACUUAAUAUUUGUUGAAAUCAGCCAAGAAAAUGAGACAUUGGAUUGGCUUGUCUUGAACUUGCUUGCAUUCUCUCCUCCUUGAAGAAAUAUUAAGUUAAAUCAUCUACUUGGAAAGCUUGUAAGAGAAUUUGAAGGAAGAAAAGGCAGCAGGGAUCACAGUUUCUGUUGACCAGAGUCGCUGCCCUAACCCCUACUGGUCAGGUUGGAAGACAAGCCUUAAGGAUGUUACAGGCUGCUCACCCAGUGCCAGAGGCAUGGUUCAUCCCUGUGGCUCCCGCAACUUCUCAGUCUCAACACCAGGGGCUGGAUCCUGCUUCUCUGAAGGUAUUUGUACUCAGAAGAAAGCUGGGAGGAGGGAUCUAUUGAUGCGUAGAAUGCAGGUCUUUUGGUGUAAGGUCAGCUUCUGAGUUAAAAGCAAAUUAGUUACCCCUCCAAAUGUCAUCAAGGCUAGUCGCUAUGUGAUGGCAACUUCCUGUAAGCAGUUGUCUUUGGCCUUCUGUAACUGAAACCACAUCAGCUGGAAGAGAGUUAAUUUGAACUUUAACUAUAUUGAUGACAAAAUUAACCUUUCAGGGAGAUGUGGAAAUUGAAGCUCUGAUACCAGAUUCAGUAUAAAAAUCUCUGUCAUUGAAGACAGCUGGAAUAUUAGCUGAGUAAAGCUUUAGAAGUUACUUCCAUUAUGAUGUAUCAUAGAAGAGUAAAUGAAUUAAGGAGGCGAGUGUCUACUUCAAUAUUAUGCAAUUUUUUAAUGGAGGCUAGGAAAAAGAAACAUUUUUUCAUUUAUCAUAAUUAUGGACAAUAGUGAAGACUAUUGUCCUAAAUGGCUCCAUUGCCCAAUCUCAUCAAGAAUCGUGCUACAGGGGUGCUCUGAGAAACGAUUCUUUAUGUAAGGCACCAGUUGGUCUGGGGUAGCACAAUUUAAAGGCCAAUAAAAACUAGUCUGAUUCUGUGACAUUCUAUCAUCCAGCCACAAGAUAUAUUUUAUCAGAGGCAGCAAAUAAAUAUCAAUAGGAUUUGUUUAAGCUGGCACUGAAACAUAGUUAGCUCAUUUAUCUCUUCAAGUUAUGCCCAGAUCAAAUACGCUGAGUGAAUUAUUAUUGAAUGUGAACUAAAUUAUGGCAUAACAAGGAAGAUCAUAUUUCCCCAAACAUGUAAUCCAUCACUGCACUGUUAGAUACAGUGUACUCCACUUAAAAUAAAUCCAUUCUUCAAGAUCUACUCGUUAAAAAGGACUCCACUUAACAGUAAGUGACAUAUACCAAUGUGGGUGGCGGUAAAGAGGAAGCCCAACCCCUGACUUUUCCCAUGUUUAAAGUCACAUUGCUUAAACAUGUUUAAAAAUAGAAACUUAACCAAGAAGUUACAUUAUUCUUGGUUUAGAUUUCAGUUGCACUUGGAAACAAAUGCAUCAGCAUAGAUUGAAUUUAAACAUGUAGUUUAGAGCAGGGAAAAGGGGGAAAACUGGAUUCAGUGAUAUUUUCAAUAAAAAAUAUGAAAAAAAUCAUAAUUGUCACUAAAAGAUAUAAAGAGAGUCCAUUUUGGUUAAUACAUUCAUGAAUCUCAACACAAUCUUAUGGAAUCCUGGGGUUAUGUGGAAAAGAAUUUAUGAAACUUAAAGCUAGCAACCCCGUUCUAGAAACAUUUCUUAUUCUUUUUUUUCUCUGACAGAAAAUUUCCUUUAAAAUAAACACAAUUGAGAGAUAAGAAACAGUUCUCAAUGAUUAGCUUUUAAUUUAUGACCUUUAAGUUGUAAAAGAAACUUUUGACAGGAACUCUAUUUAGAGUACAGAGAUUCUGU